CCCUUAGAUGUCCGGGGCCGCACGCGCGCUACACUGAAGGAAUCAGCGUGGCUUUCUCCCUGACCCGAAGGGUUGGGAAACCCGUUGAAUCUCCUUCGUGAUAGGGAUUGGGGCUUGAAAUUGUUCCCCAUGAACGAGGAAUUCCCAGUAAGCGCGAGUCAUAAGCUCGCGUUGAUUACGUCCCUGCCCUUUGUACACACCGCCCGUCGCUACUACCGAUUGAACGGUUUAGUGAGGGCCUCGGAUUGGUCUCGGCCCGCUCUUUACCGGGCGGCGCCGUUGGUCGAGAAGACGCUCGAACUUGAUCGUUUAGAGGAAGUAAAAGUCGUAACA
rnacentral:rRNA from 1 species